rnacentral:rRNA from 1 species
AACGAACGCUGGCGGCAUGCCUAACACAUGCAAGUCGAACGAGCCCUCCAGGUCUAUUGGCCCCUGGGUGCGUAACGCGUCGGAACCUUCCCUUAGGUUCGGAAUAACUCCCCGACAGGGGUGAUAAUGCCGGAUAAUGUCUUCUGACCAAAGAUUUAUCGCCUUUGGAUGGUCCCGCGUUGGAUUAGCUAGUUGGUAGGGUAAAAGCCUACCAAGGCGACGAUCCAUAGCUGGUCUGAGAGGAUGAUCAGCCACACUGGGACUGAGACACGGCCCAGACUCCUACGGGAGGCAGCAGUGGGGAAUAUUGGACAAUGGGCGAAAGCCUGAUCCAGCAAUGCCGCGUGAGUGAUGAAGGCCUUAGGGUUGUAAAGCUCUUUUACCCGGGAUGAUAAUGACAGUACCGGGAGAAUAAGCUCCGGCUAACUCCGUG